AGAUUCUUUAACACAGUCCAGAGAGGCUGAGAAGGAUACCGGACAAGCGAAUCAAUGAAUUCGUUUAAAGACCCCUCUCUGCCUUUAUGCAGAAGGGGUUUUUGUUU
rfam:Bacillus licheniformis ATCC 14580, complete genome.